rnacentral:rRNA from 1 species
UUGAAUUGUAUUGUGGAAAUGUAUUACCAACAGAGGUGCAGGUGCCAGCCUAUUGAAAUAAAGCGUCAAUGAGGGUGAGAAUCCUGUUUGUCAUGUGCAACCCUUUGUGCACGGUGUAUAUUUGCUGAGUCACACUCCUUGGCAUUGGAAUGCAAAGUGGGUGGUAAGUUUCAUGUAAAGGUAAACAUGCAAUUGAGACUGAUAGCACACAAGUACCAUGAGGGAAAUAUGAAAAGGACUUUGAAAAGAGAAUUAAAUGAGUUUGUAUUUGCUGAACACAAAGUAAACAGACUUGAUUUGCUUGGUGGGAGUGUUGCACUUGCUUGACAAGAGCUUUGGGCUGUGGGUGUAAUGAUUCUUUCUUUGCAUGCCAGUUUCUAUUUGUACAUCUGAUUACCUUUGCACAUGAAUGAUAAGUCUCCUGUGGGGGGUGGAUUGCAUGUGCAUGUAAUGAUUUGUGUUUUGAUAAAUGUGUCUGGUGUAUGUGUGUGUGUUCCUGUGCUUGGGGAUGCUUCCUUCCUUGGACUUACAAGCCCUGACACACACAUGCUGGCAAAAUGCUUCUGCUUGACCCGUCUUGAAACACGGACCAAGGAGUCUAACAGAUGUGCAAAGUUUGAAGGUGGUAUACCUUUGUGUGCAAUGAAAGUGUCAGCUGGGAUAUGUGCACCAGCACCCAAUUAAUUAGCGGACAGAGGUUUGAGUUGGAGCAUAUCUAUUAGGACCCGAAAGAUGGUGAACUAUGCCUGACAGAAUGAAUUCAGA